GAGCGAGUAAAAGUCGAACAUAGUGGUUGUGACAGUUAGAGUGAGAGACAGGGAUAGAACUGAGAGAGAAGAGUGUGAGAGUGUGAG